rnacentral:rRNA from 1 species
UACGUAGGGGGCAAGCGUUGUCCGGAUUUAUUGGGCGUAAAGAGCGUGUAGGCGGCCAGAUAGGUCAGCUGUGAAAACUCGAGGCUCAACCUCGAGAUGUCGGCUGAAACCAUCUGGCUAGAGUCCGGAAGAGGAGAAUGGAAUUCCCGGUGUAGCGGUGAAAUGCGCAGAUAUCAGGAGGAACACCGGUGGCGAAGGCGGGUCUCUGGGCAGUAACUGACGCUGAGGAGCGAAAGCGUGGGGAGCGAACAGG